rnacentral:lncRNA from 1 species
UAUGAGAUCUGCCAGUUCCUGAAAGGAGCCAAGAUCACGCGGCUCCAGGAUCAGCAGGUUCCCUACGCAGUCAAGGGGAACCAGUGGGUGGGCUAUGAUGAUGUGAAGAGUAUGGAGACCAAGGAUUAACUUACAGAGAAGCAGGCAAGAUGACCUUGCUGCCUGGGGCCUGCUCUCUCCCAGGAAUUCUCAUGUGGGAUUCCCCUUGCCAGGCUGGCCUUUGGAUCUCUCUUCCAAGCCUUUCCUGACUUCCUCUUAGAUCAUAGAUUGGACCUGGUUUUGUUUUCCUGCAGCUGUUGACUUGUUGCCCUGAAGUACAAUAAAAAAAAUUCAUUUUGC